rnacentral:rRNA from 1 species
GAUGAACGCUGGCGGUGUGCUUAACAUAUGCAAGUCGAACGGAAAGGCUCCUGCUUGCAGGGGUACUCGAGUGGCGAACGGGUGAGUAACACGUGGGUGAUCUGCCCUGCAUUUCGGGAUAAGCCUGGGAAACUGGGUCUAAUACCGGAUAGGACGAUGGUUUGGAUGCCAUUGUGGAAAGCUUUUCGGUGUGGGAUGAUCUCGCGGCCUAUUUGCUUGUUGGUGGGGUAAUGUCCUACCAAGGCGUCGACGGGUAGCCGGCCUGAGAGGGUGUACGGCCACAUUAGGGAUGAGAUACGGCCCAGGCUCCUACGGGAGGCAGCAGUGGGGAAUAUUGCACAAUGGGCGCAAGCCUGAUGCAGCGACGCCGCGUGGGGGAUGACGGCCUUCGGGUUGUAAACUCCUUUCGCUAGGGACGAAGCGCAAGUGACGGUACCUGGAGAAGAAGCACCGGCUAGCUACGUG